rnacentral:rRNA from 1 species
GAGCGCCCCGCAAGGGGAGCGGCAGACGGGAGAGUAACACGUGGGAACGUACCCUUCAGUUCGGAACAACCCAGGGAAACUUGGGCUAAUACCGGAUACGUCCGUAAGGAGAAAGAUUUAUCGCUGAAGGAUCGGCCCGCGUCUGAUUAGCUUGUUGGUGAGGUAACGGCUCACCAAGGCGACGAUCAGUAGCUGGUCUGAGAGGAUGAUCAGCCUCACUGGGACUGAGACACGGCCCAGACUCCUACGGGAGGCAGCAGUGGGGAAUAUUGGACAAUGGGCGCAAGCCUGAUCCAGCCAUGCCGCGUGGGUGAUGAAGGCCUUAGGGUUGUAAAGCCCUUUCGGCGGGGAAGAUAAUGACGGUACCCGCAGAAGAAGCCCCGGCUAACUUCGUG